AACGAACGCUGGCGGCGUGGUUUAGGCAUGCAAGUCGAGCGCGAAAGAGGGCUUCGGCUCUCGAGUAGAGCGGCGAAAGGGUGAGUAAUGCUUGGGCAAUCUAUCCUCGGCACUGGGAUAGCCACUGGAAACGGUGGAUAAUACCGGAUGGCCUCGUGACGACUACGGUCGCUACGAGUAAAGGGUGGGGAUCUUCGGACCUACCGGCAGAGGAGGAGCUCGAGUCCUAUCAGCUUGUUGGUGCGGUAACGGCGCACCAAGGCGAAGACGGGUAGCCGGACUGAGAGGUUGGCCGGCCACACUGGCACUGAGACACUGGCCAGACUCCUACGGGAGGCUGCAGUCGAGAAUCUUCCGCAAUGGGCGAAAGCCUGACGGAGCGACGCCGCGUGGAGGAAGAAGGCCUUCGGGUUGUAACUCCUGUCAGAGUUUAAGAACGCAGCAGGGACUAACACGCUC
rnacentral:rRNA from 1 species